rfam:Manacus vitellinus contig13993, whole genome shotgun sequence.
CUAAAGGCUCUUUUAAGAACCACUACAUUCCACAAGAGAGUUGAAA